rnacentral:ncRNA from 2 species
GGCCACGGUCGUGACUGGCGAAGGUGGAGCAACCACCGGGGAGCGGCCGAGCACCACCCACUGACGUGCACCGCCCGCCUGGGUGCCUGGG